GGCGAGGCGGAAAGGCAGCUACGCCGAUGUCAUCCUCAUAAAGCGUCGGGACUCAUCCGAGGACUCCCACAGCAGGUACUGCGUCGCGCGCCAUGCUGAU